GCAAUUAUCAUUUAUUAAAAGCUUAGGGGAAAAAUGGUAAUAAACAGCUUGCACAAAAACAAUUUGGACUGCAGCAGUAGACUAACUCUGAAAAAUCACCAUAAAUUGUAGAAAUCAAAUUAUAAGAUGGAAAAAAUAUGUAAUUAAAUCUUAUUGAGUCUAGUUUCUCAUAGAAGAAAUAGUGUAAGCAAUGGAUUUGUAAAUUUUGAGAUAUAAUGAAUUUUUUGAGACAAG
rnacentral:lncRNA from 1 species